rnacentral:rRNA from 1 species
AUUGAACGCUGGCGGCAGGCCUAACACAUGCAAGUCGAACGAGUCGCGGACGGGUGAGUAAUGUAUGGGCAACUGCCUGGUGGAGGGCGAUAACUACUGGAAACUGUAGCUAAUACCGCCUUCCAUCAGAUGUGCCCAGAUGGGAAUGGCUAGUUGGUGGGGUAACGGAUCACCAAGACGACGAUCCCUAGCUGGUCUGAGAGGAUGACGAGCCACACUGGAACUGAGACACGGUCCAGACUCCUACGGGAGGCAGCAGUGGGGAAUAUUGCACAAUGGGCGCAAGCCUGAUGCAGCCAUGCCGCGUGUAUGAAGAAGGCCUUCGGGUUGUAAAGUACUUUCAGCGGGGAGGCGUUACCCGCAGAAGAAGCACCGGCUAACUCCGUGCCAGCAGCCGCGGUAAUUC